ACGGGAGGCAGCAGUGGGGAAUAUUGGACAAUGGGGGCAACCCUGAUCCAGCGACGCCGCGUGAGUGAAGAAGUGUUUCGACAUGUAAAGCUCUAUCAGCAAGGAAGAAAAUGACGGUACUUGACUAAGAAGCCCCGGCUAACUACGUGCCAGCAGCCGCGGUAAUACGUAGGGGGCAAGCGUUAUCCGGAUUUACUGGGUGUAAAGGGAGCGUAGACGGUGAGGCAAGUCUGAAGUGAAAACCCGCAGCUCAACUGCGGGACUGCUUUGGAAACUGUCACACUAGAGUGCAGGAGGGGUAAGCGGAAUUCCUAGUGUAGCGGUGAAAUGCGUAGAUAUUAGGAGGAACACCGGAGGCGAAGGCGGCUUACUGGACUGUAACUGACGUUGAGGCUCGAAAGCGUGGGGAGCAAACAGGAUUAGAUACCCUGGUA
rnacentral:rRNA from 2 species